GUUUGAUCAUGGCUCAGAACGUACGCUGGCGGCACGCCUAACACAUGCAAGUCGAACGAAGUAGCAAUACUUAGUGGCAGACGGGUGAGUAACAUGUAGGUAUCUACCCUUUGGCCUGGAAUAACACGAGGAAACUUGUGCUAAUACCGGAUAAGUCUUUACGGAGAAAGCUUUAUGCACCAUUGGAUGAGCCUGCACUUGAUUAGUUUGUUGGUAGGGUAAUGGCCUACCAAGACUGUGAUCAAUAGCUGAUUUGAGAGGAUGAUCAGCCACAUUGGGACUGAGACACGGCCCAAACUCCUACGGGAGGCAGCAGUGGGGAAUCUUGCACAAUGGAGGAAACUCUGAUGCAGCGAUGCCGCGUGAGUGAAGAAGGCCCUUGGGUUGUAAAGCUCUUUCGUCGGGGAAGAAAAUGACUGUACCCGAAUAAGAAGGUCCGGCUAACUUCGUGCCAGCAGCCGCGGUAAUACGAAGGGACCUAGCGUAGUUCGGAAUUACUGGGCUUAAAGAGUUCGUAGGUGGUUGAAAUAGUUGGUGGUGAAAUCCCAGAGCUUAACUCUGGAACUGCCAUCAAAACUUUUCAGCUAGAGUUUGAUAGAGGAAAGCAGAAUUUCUAGUGUAGAGGUGAAAUUCGUAGAUAUUAGAAAGAAUACCAAUUGCGAAGGCAGCUUUCUGGAUCAUUACUGACACUGAGGAACGAAAGCAUGGGUAGCGAAGAGGAUUAGAUACCCUCGUAGUCCAUGCCGUAAACGAUGUGUGUUAGACGUUGGAAAUUUAUUUUCAGUGUCGCAGCGAAAGCGAUAAACACACCGCCUGGGGAGUACGACCGCAAGGUUAAAACUCAAAUGAAUUGACGGGGACCCGCACAAGUAGUGGAGCAUGUGGUUUAAUUCGAAGAUACGCGCAGAACCUUACCAACACUUGACAUGUUCGUCGCGACUUUAAGAGAUUAAAGUUUUCGGUUCGGCCGGACGAAACACAGGUGCUGCAUGGCUGUCGUCAGCUCGUGUCGUGAGAUGUUGGGUUAAGUCCCGCAACGAGCGCAACCCUCACUUUUAGUUGCCAUCAUUUAGUUGGGCACUCUGAAAGAACUGCCAGUGAUAAGCUGGAGGAAGGUGGGGAUGACGUCAAGUCCUCAUGGCCCUUACGUGUUGGGCUACACACGUGCUACAAUGGUAUUUACAACAGGAAGCAAGACGGCGACGUUAAGCAAAUCCUUAAAAAAUACCUCAGUUCGGAUUGCACUCUGCAACUCGAGUGCAUGAAGCUGGAAUUACUAGUAAUCGUGGAUCAGCGUGCCACGGUGAAUGCGUUCCCGGGUCUUGUACACACCGCCCGUCACACCAUGGGAGUUGGUUCUACCUUAAGGCAAGGUUUAAAACCCUUGACUACGGUAUAGUCAGCGACUGGGGUGAAGUCAUAACAAGGUAGCCGUA
rnacentral:rRNA from 1 species